rnacentral:rRNA from 1 species
UACGUAGGGUGCGAGCGUUAAUCGGAAUUACUGGGCGUAAAGCGUGCGCAGGCGGUUUUGUAAGCCAGAUGUGAAAUCCCCGGGCUUAACCUGGGAAUGGCAUUUGGGACUGCAAGGCUCGAGUGCGGCAGAGGAGACUGGAAUUCCUGGUGUAGCAGUGAAAUGCGUAGAUAUCAGGAGGAACACCUGUGGCGAAGGCGGCCCCCUGGUUGGAUACUGACGCUGAUACGCGAAAGCGUGGGGAGCAAACAGG